AACGGUGCGUAUCGGUGAUUGCAGCGCUUGUGCAGAGUAAUCGAUUGCUGGUUCUUGCUGAAGCCUGCUCUGGGGGUAGUGGCCGCUUGAGAUCGCUUGCAAAGAAUCCCGUAAUCGGAAUCCUAAGUCUACCUUGCUAUCGUUAUCGAGAAUUUCGAUCUUUAUUUUGUUGAAGAUGAUAAUACAUUGAUGCAGGAAAAGUUUAAAUGGUAUAGCUUCAAUGGUGGAGAUUUGUUUUCAGUGGCUGGAUUGUGACUGGUUGGUUUCCAGCACCACGGACUUUGAUAGAGUGAUGCUGGAACAGAGGUCCAUUUGCUAAGCAUCCCUUUUGGUUAUCCUAUUAGUGUUUUUCAGCUGCUUUUAAGCUUUGAUGCAUUCGCUGCUACCCCAAAUACUCAUUCAGUAAUGUUAUGGUUUUUCUGAAUCUUUCUUGAUAACUGCUUUAAGACUGGAGUUCUUUAUCUGUCAUUUACUGCUUCCUUGGCCUAGGUUUUUCGCUUAUGUAAAUUAAAUUUGAUUCAAAGGAUUUUUAAUGGCUUACUAUGUAUGUA